UUAGCAAACGAGAGAAAGGACGG
rnacentral:piRNA from 1 species